UUUAUUCGUGUUUAUGUCUUCUUUUAGAGUUCAGGGAUUCUGCUUUGAAUACAAUUGAUAUGUCACUGGAAGAAAAAAGAGAGCAACAAAAGGAUGGAGUUUUGCAUGGCAGCAGUCUUUGUAUUUUUUAAAGGCAUAAUCUUAUUUAAGCGUGAAGUAGAAGAUGGAGGCGCUACAAGCGUGAAGAAGAGGAAGCUAUCAUUUUUCUUUUAACCUGAUUGACUCUUUUAAAUAGAAAUAGGUCAAUUUGGUAGUUAACUUAAUUCAGUUAGUGGGUUUCAAUAUAAAUUAGCACAAUUUAUUUAAUUCAAUCUAUAUUUGUAUUACUGUAUUCGGCUAAAUUAUUUAAUGCUAAGAAAUUAUGUAGAAGGUUUUAGUUCUUA